GGAAACAGGAAACUGGAAGGAUAAUCCGGAAUGAUUUGUUACGAAGUCACAUCUUGAGCAGGUGCAAUUGGCUGUAUUCAAACAAUGACACUGCCUGAUAGCUCUAAAUAAAGUGUAUUUAGGUAGACAAAUGCUGAAACAAAGUUUGAUCGGAAUAAGUCGGGCAUAUGUUAUAUAAUCCAGACUCCUAAAGUGAUCACUGAGGCUGUUAAAGAACAGGACUUUGAGGUCAUGUUGGAGGUAAAAGAAAAACACUCCUCCAAAAUUAGUGAAAUGACAAAGAGACAGCCUAUUUAGUAGGAAAUUGCACAUGCCACUGGUGCAAUAGGGAGAGUCCAGUGUUAUUUGCAGUUCAGUUAUUUGCAACAGUCUGUGUUUUCGACAUCGAAUAAUCAUUCUUAAGCAAUGUCUUUAGGAUUCUUGCAGGAAUUUGUAUAUGAAGAACAGUAUUCAAAUGAAAGUUAAGAAAAUCAUUUUUUUUCUGUAAGAAGUAUAGAACAGUAUUUAAAUAAAUGAGUUACAUGGUUAAGGUAUUGGGAGGGUAAUAAAAUUAGCAGUCACCUGCAAAUAUUUCUUUCAUCUGAAAUAUCAUUUUGGUUUGUAUUUUGCUGAAAUCAAAUGCAGCAGUUCAAGGUAGAGAAUAGUUUUCAAUAAUGCUAAUAUCAAUGAAUGGCACCACUGGUCUCCUCUGAGCAGAAAGAUUGACAUUUUUCAAAUAAUAUUACUGGGUUUUUCAAAAUAGUAUUUUUGGUACUGAGCAGGGACAUAUUUUACAAAAUGGACUUAUUGGUACUGAGCAAGUUGAUUGAAAUUCUCAAAAUGUUACUAUUAGUUCUGAGCAGACAUAUUGAUAUUUUCUAAAUGCAGUUGGGAUUGAGCAGGCUUUUAACAUUUUUCAAAUGAAAUUGUAUAUAUAUAUUAUUGCAUAUUACAGUAAUUUAUAAAUAAAUGUGUACUUUCUUAUGUUCUGAGCUGUAUGCAAGAAUAAAAUAGUAGUAUAUUUUUUCUAUAUUAUUGUAUAAGUCUGUCAAGAUUAUGUCUAGUCGAAAUGUUGGUUUUAUGCCACUGAUGAAAAUAAUUUUGUAACUAGUAUUUCAACCUUACCUGAUUUAUUUGCUUUGGGAAAAAGUCAUAGUCAUGUGCCAGUGUCUUUUUGUUAAAACAAUAUCCUGAAUUUUUCUUUCGUAUCAUUUUAUCUUUGAAACUUGGAUUAUGACCAUCGUCUAUUUGCAGGAGUACAAAAUUCUGUCAAUAUUUUUUCAUUAUGAUAAUUUUUUACACAGUUUCUAAAUUUUUUAGGAUAGUGAACCUUUUAUAGGAAAUUAUGUUCAAAGCAUGGUAGCUUGUUUGUCAUGUACUAUAUUGACCCAAAGUGUUUGCUUCUUUUCACCCAUUUGACGACAGGAUGUGAAAUCAUUUUAGAGCAAAGCAGUAAGACAAUUUUUUUUAACUCAAUCAGUUCAGUCAUGCGCUUCCAUAAAACAGUUACAAUAUACACAAAAACAGACUGUGUUACAAUGAAUAUACCAAUUGAAUUAUUGAUAGUAAGAUAUUUUGCAGCAGACUAAUAUCUUCACAUGUUUUUAUGACAGUUUUUUCAGGUAUGUUUAAAAUACAACAAAGAACAAUAUACAUGUACAUAAAAAGCUCAUGCUUGUAAAAUAGUCAGAUUAAGUAGUUGCACAUGAUGUUGGUAGUUUUUCUUCAAAAUGUUUUUAAAUAAAGUUUUUUUUUCAGCAGUAAAUGUUAUUAUGUAUAACAAACAUCCCUUAGAAAAACAUGUCUCUUGUCCAGUGUUCAAAACUGAAUGCAGUAUGUUCAACUAAUGUUCAUAUUCUUAACGUCCAUGUCUUUGAGCAUGUUCUAGGCGUUCAAUAUCUGUUGCAUUGGAAUUGAACACGUCCUGGGUGUUCACAGACUGUUCAUUUACGGAACUGUAAGUGUUACCAAUCUGAACACUAACAUUAAAUCAAAGUACUGAGAGGACUGAUGGGGGACAUCAUGUGUUAUUGACAGUCUAACAAAAACAGGCAAAUUUUGUAACACUUUAUGAAAGUUUGGAAAGAAAGUCGAAAUAUUCCACUAUGUGAAAGUUUAAUGGAACAGGAUUUCCUUGAACUGACAUUGAAAAAGAAACAACUAGGCUAUGUUUUCUAAUGUGCACAAUGCUUAUCAAUUAAAAAAGUCAGGAAUGUUUUUUGUUACAAUUAAGCAUCAUUUUAGUAAGAAGUAGUCGUCAUAAGUUAAUACACACACACACCUGUAAAAAUAUUUUUUUAUAGAUCUACCUUUUUUCCAUUCCAACUAUUGCUAAAAUUCAGUAACUGUUUUCUUAAAAACAUACAUGACAUAUGAUGAUACUAUUUUUCAUUUUGUUUGUUAUGUUUGUUGAUCUAAAUAACAUUGUCUGUUUCAGUUUUAUGUUAUUUGAUAUACACCUGUAUUUCAAACUAUGAAUAUCAUAAUAUAAGAAAUACAUCAAACACUAUGAAAACCGUGAUUCGUUGCUUCGAAAGAAGUCCAUAAUAAAUAGAUCCUAAUUUUCCCAUUUUUUGCGCAAACUCCUGUAGAACGAGUGCUUUAUGCCUUUAGUCACCAUUUUUCACUACUAAAAUACAUUCUGCAUGAAAUGAGACGGUUUUCAUGUUCGUACACACCACGUGGCAAAUUUUGCAGAUCGAAACCGGAAGUAGGUGUUUACUGCGCGGACGAAAGCUAAUGUGCGCCAUUUUUAGAGUAGCAGACCACAACUGACUGGCAUUUCAUUAGGAACUACAUAACCCCCUAUUUUCUUUUCAUUUUUUUUCGUUAAUUUGUCAUAGAACUUUCAUGAAAAAUAGGUGUAGGAAAAAGUGAUGUUCUCUAAAGAUACGUAUAGACGACCUGAAGUUGUCGUUUUCUAUAUGAAACAAAGAAGGAUUUGACUUAAUGACCUUUAACCUAUACAGUUAGGUUCGAGUAAAUUAGGAUACGAAACGCCCGUGGAAAAAAAAUUCUGGUGGUUCUGCCUUCGAAUAUCACCAUCAGAAACCAAUUGCACCCUCAGAUAGAUGAAAUACAUUAAUCUGGUAACAUAAAAGUACAUCUGCAGGGAUAAUUACCAAGAAAAAGAGGCCAAAAUAUAACGGGCACCUGCGGCAAGUUAACAUCGCGGAAUGGCGGAUUACCUCCCGUAGCAAAAAUUACUCGGUGUGAACAAUGAUAAAAUACGUAUAUGUACGUAUAUGUACGCGCAAUUAUAACAGUAUUUAGCGCACUCUUUAUGUUAAACGAUAAUUUUCCUGCAGAUAAGUACCAGUUUGAUCAGCGUAUAUGGCGUUUUUUGAUAGAAAAAUCUGGGAAUGAAUUUUUUCUUCGGUCGUUUUUCAAGGAUUUCCCGAACAUUAUAUGUUAAACAGGUCAUAUACGUAAUGUUCUGAUCUUUAUACUAAAGAAUCAGGCACAUGUUCCGUUUGGGAAAUGCCAAAUACUUUCCCAGA